rnacentral:rRNA from 1 species
CAGUAGCCGCGGGAAUACAGAGGGUGCGAGCGUUAAUCGGAUUUACUGGGCGUAAAGCGUGCGUAGGCGGCUUUUUAAGUCGGAUGUGAAAUCCCUGAGCUUAACUUAGGAAUUGCAUUCGAUACUGGGAAGCUAGAGUAUGGGAGAGGAUGGUAGAAUUCCAGGUGUAGCGGUGAAAUGCGUAGAGAUCUGGAGGAAUACCGAUGGCGAAGGCAGCCAUCUGGCCUAAUACUGACGCUGAGGUACGAAAGCAUGGGAAGCAAACAGGAUUAGAGACCCCCGUAGUCCCUGUCUCUUAUAC